rnacentral:rRNA from 1 species
UACAGAGGGGGCUAGCGUUGUUCGGAAUUACUGGGCGUAAAGGGCGCGUAGGUGGCCUGUUAAGUCGAACGUGAAAUCCCCGGGCUCAACCCGGGAACUGCGUCCGAGACUGGCAGGCUCGAAUCCGGGAGAGGGAUGUGGAAUUCCAGGUGUAGCGGUGAAAUGCGUAGAUAUCGUAAGGAAGACCAGUGGCGAAGGCGGGUCUCUGGACAGUUCCUGACGCUGAGGCACGAAGGCCAGGGGAGCAAACGGG